rnacentral:rRNA from 1 species
UUUGAUCCUGGCUCAGGAUGAACGCUAGCGGCAGGCCUAAUACAUGCAAGUCGAACGGUGUCUUCGGACAUAGUGGCGCACGGGUGCGUAACACGUAUGCAACCUACCUUACAUUGGGGGAUAGCCUUUCGAAAGGGAGAUUAAUACCGCAUAAGACAGUAGCUGGGCAUCCAGCAGCUGUUAAAGAUUUAUCGAUGUAAGAUGGGCAUGCGACCAAUUAGUUAGUUGGCGAGGUAACGGCUCACCAAGACUAUGAUUGGUAGGGGAACUGAGAGGUCAAUCCCCCACACUGGCACUGAGAUACGGGCCAGACUCCUACGGGAGGCAGCAGUAGGGAAUAUUGGGCAAUGGACGCAAGUCUGACCCAGCCAUGCCGCGUGCAGGAUGAAGGCGUUAUGCGUUGUAAACUGCUUUUAUACAGGAAGAAACGACUCUUGCGAGAGGCAUUGACGGUACUGUAUGGAUAAGCACCGGCUAACUCCGUGCCAGCAGCCGCGGUAAUACGGAGGGUGCAAGCGUUGUCCGGAUUCAUUGGG